rnacentral:rRNA from 1 species
AUUGAACGCUGGCGGCAUGCCUUACACAUGCAAGUCGAACGGUAACAGGUCUUCGGAUGCUGACGAGUGGCGAACGGGUGAGUAAUACAUCGGAACGUGCCUAGUAGUGGGGGAUAACUACUCGAAAGAGUGGCUAAUACCGCAUGAGAUCUACGGAUGAAAGCAGGGGAUCGCAAGACCUUGUGCUAUUAGAGCGGCCGAUGGCAGAUUAGGUAGUUGGUGGGAUAAAAGCUUACCAAGCCGACGAUCUGUAGCUGGUCUGAGAGGACGAUCAGCCACACUGGGACUGAGACACGGCCCAGACUCCUACGGGAGGCAGCAGUGGGGAAUUUUGGACAAUGGGCGCAAGCCUGAUCCAGCAAUGCCGCGUGCAGGAUGAAGGCCUUCGGGUUGUAAACUGCUUUUGUACGGAACGAAAAGCCCUGGGUUAAUACCCUGGGGUCAUGACGGUACCGUAAGAAUAAGCACCGGCUAACUACGUGCCAGCCGCCGCGGUAAAAC